CUCUUUUAGGAUGUUUGCGGCUUCCGUCAUCUUGGACUUUAGACCGGCUUCGUCGAUGACAUCGGCAUUCCAUUGGCCUUUAGCUAGGAAGAGUAACGGUGCGUGCAGCUCGUAUAACGUCAUACCUGUCGAAAAAAGAUGAGGUGAUAUCCAAAUAGACAGCACUAGUUUUCGACGCAACUACGCACUACGUACCUCAGUAUCGUGAGGAAAGCGUGACGAGGAUGCAGAACUGAUCGAUACUUCCUCAGAACGGUCUCUCUCUCGUGAAUCGCAUCGGCUCCGUCAGCCCCGCUGAUGGCCUCAACGUUAUCUACUUCCGCUUGGAUGAUCCGGAAGACUUUGCGCACCGCUUGCCCGUUGAUGGAGUACUCGCAAUGCGUACACUUCCACGCGCUUUCCGCAUCUAAAAACCGUACAGGUUUGGCUCUGAACUCUGGGUAAGAGAUCGAUACAUCCGGUCGAUGUGUGUAUCGCCGUACCUAAGGAAUCCAGCGGCAGGACGAUUCCGUUGUCGCAUUUGUUGCACUUGAGCGAGGACAUGUGGGUGGCCAAUUCCGUGGGAUCUGAGCAUCGCGGGCAAGCGCAGGCGAAGUGUUUGCCCUCGAGCAGGUGUUCGCGCCGCAGCAGCGUCGGAAGCAACGACGAAUUCUCGCAUUCCUCGCCGCAAACUGGCCAACCGCACUUGGAGCACAGCGGUUUGUCAUCUGGACUAGGCGGCCAGGGUGUAUAGCAGGCGAGGCACAAGGGAUAGGUGCAUGCUUUUGGGCCGACGACGAAUGGCAUCUCCGUCAUGAUCUCCUCGCCAGCCUGCAGUUCUCUGCUCGCGACCAUGUAUCUGAAAACAUGAUGUGACUGUGUGCUACACAAAUAAACGUUAAUUGCAUCACGGGCAAUUAAAGCGACUAUAUUCGGAUCGUGCUAUCUUGUUUUCCACGAUAUCAUCUUUCACUGCGUUAGAGCAAUUGGGAGAUACCUAUUGUGUGAACUACCGUGAUUUAUCUAUCCCAGCAUUUCAGACGGUUCAGCCGCUCCGCUUACCUGCCAACUUGAUCGCUCCGGAGCACCUUGUA